rnacentral:rRNA from 1 species
GACGAACCGUGCGAACGUUAUUCGGAAUCACUGGGCUUAAAGCGCGUGUAGGCGGGCUGCCACGUCGGGCGCUGAAAUCCCCCGGCUCAACCGGGGAACGGGCACCGAUACGAGCAGCCUAGAGGGGAGUAGGGGGACCUGGAACUUCCGGUGGAGCGGUGAAAUGCGUUGAGAUGUGGAGGAACACCGAUGGCGAAGGCAGCCUCCUGGGCCAGCACUGACGCUCAUGCACGAAAGCGUGGGGAGCAAACAGG